UCUUUGUUAGUGUAUCGGUUAGUACACGCGCUUGUCAUACAAAUGCUUCCCUCUGUAAGUGUUGCGCGCGAAAACUGGGUUCGACUCCCAGACAGAGAG